CGCUGGCGGCGUGCCUAACACAUGCAAGUCGAACGAAGCUUGAAUUAUGAUUUCUUCGGAAUGAAUAAUGAUAUGACUGAGUGGCGGACGGGUGAGUAACGCGUGAGUAACCUGCCUUUUAGUACGGGAUAGUGUUUGGAAACGAACAGUAAUACCGUAUAAAGUUCAGAGAAGACAUCUUCUUUGAACCAAAGCUUUAGCGCUGAAAGAUGGACUCGCGUCUGAUUAGAUAGUUGGUGAGGUAACGGCUCACCAAGUCGACGAUCAGUGGCCGUACUGAGAGGUAGAACGGCCACAUUGGGACUGAGAGACGGCCCAGACUCCUACGGGAGGCAGCAGUGGGGAAUAUUGCACAAUGGACGAAAGUCUGAUGCAGCAACGCCGCGUGAAGGAAGACGGUUUUCGGAUUGUAAACUUCUGUUCUUAGUGAAGAAACAAAUGACGGUAACUAAGGAGCAAGCCACGGCUAACUACGUG
rnacentral:rRNA from 1 species